rnacentral:tRNA from 1 species
AUUUAAAUAGCUUAUUAAAAGUGUAGUAUUGAAGAUACUAAGAAAAUAUAAUAUUAUUUUUAAAUA